rnacentral:rRNA from 1 species
CGUACACUCCUGCGGGAGGCAGCAGUGGGGAAUAUUGGACAAUGGGCGCAAGCCUGAUCCAGCCAUGCCGCGUGAGUGAUGAAGGCCCUAGGGUUGUAAAGCUCUUUCACCGGUGAAGAUAAUGACGGUAACCGGAGAAGAAGCCCCGGCUAACUUCGUGCCAGCAGCCGCGGUAAUACGAAGGGGGCUAGCGUUGUUCGGAUUUACUGGGCGUAAAGCGCACGUAGGCGGACUAUUAAGUCAGGGGUGAAAUCCCGGGGCUCAACCCCGGAACUGCCUUUGAUACUGGUAGUCUUGAGUUCGAGAGAGGUGAGUGGAAUUCCGAGUGCAGAGGUGAAAUUCGUAGAUAUUCGGAGGAACACCAGUGGCGAAGGCGGCUCACUGGCUCGAUACUGACGCUGAGGUGCGAAAGCGUGGGGAGCAAACAGGAUUAGAUACCCCGGUAGUCCCAUGA